CGUCAUUCAGAAAAAUAAUAUCCAAAUCAAACACCACGGCAUGAACUUCUUAUUAGUCAAAUUUCAGAAAAAAAAAACUGCAGCCAUUAUUGUUGUACAACUUAUAUUAUUCACCUUGGUCGAGCUUCUGCCGUGCUGAACAAACGGCUCUCUCAUCUCGCCAUGUUGCGUACGUCAUGGAUGGGUCAAUUAUUCUGAAACCCUCUGGCCAGGAAAUAGGAGAAUUAGGAAAGACGACCAUGUGCAUGCAAGCGGCAGCAAUGCCAAAUCACCCUGUUAUUUAGGUUUCAGAACAGAAAAGCAAGACCAAAAGUUUAGGUUUACAAAAUAUACAACUUAACAUUUCUCCCAAACAUUUUAGUUCUGACUGUAGUACAACCAGUAUGUUUGAUGCCUAUAGGGAAGCUAGUAUCUACAAAGCACAUAAUGCAUAAGUAACAACAGAAGACCGCAUAUUGGCAAAUGAUUUUUACUGUUCUUUUGAGAGAAAAUUAAAGGACUGGAUUGACUUCUUGCUACAUUCUAUUUAUUCUUAAUGUACAAUAUGCAGACUCACAUUUCGCCGUGACCAAAGGAGAACACAAAAUAGACUUCGGAUAUCCCCAUCUACGAAUGAGUUUUGUUAACAAAAUGGAGUGACUGAUAACUGAUUAACUAGUACACAUGCAGCAUUACUUAUCAGGAAACCCGUAACCCCAAGCUCUAGUUAUCCCAUCUCAGGACAAUGCUAUUAUGAUAUACAUUCAGCUUAAUUCUGUUUGAAGAAAAAAAAUGGAGUGACCAAAUAAGAAAGGUGUUCAACACACAACAUUUCUGUCCAGAAUAUUCAUCUUGAGAUUAAGUACACAUAUUUCUGUUCAGAACAUCGAUGUUGUAUGAUUAAUUGUUUCUGGGCCUAUAAGUUUCAUCUCUUCUAUCACUAAUUUGCACAGAAAUUGUUCGGGUCACUACCAUUUCGCCAUUAGUCAGCCAAAAUGCCAAAUGUAAGUUGUGAUCACUCCAUCAUAUCAAAGUACCAAACUCAGUCAUUUUCCCUACUUCUAUCAUCCACCAACAGACCUGACUAAUUUACAGCAAUAUGGCAUGUAUGUGAAGACCAUCUCAGAAUAUAUGCUUAAUUUGAUGCUAUUGCCCUGCUAAUAUUUUAACAAGUGUUGAUGCCAAAACAUUGCAACCCUGUAGUUCAAGCUCAGAAUAAAAACAUUUGAUAAAUUAAUCCACACAAUUAUUUACAACUACUAAGACAGGGAUCUGACAGCUAGUUCCCCCCUUGUUCGUCAUACCUUUGUUGAUUUCAGAGAGGAGAGAUCGGAUCCUAGAAUAGGGAUCUGACCGCCAUGUGAGCUCAUUUAUAUUCACAAUUAAGGCCAAUAAUUCAAUCUUCCCACCGGACCAUGAACCCUAGAAAUUAUCAAGGCCAAGACCAAGAACCCUAGAAAUUAAGAGGAUGACUUUAGGGGGGGGGGUGCUGAAGAAGAGGAGGAGCGGGGCCUUACCAGUCCAAAGACGGGGUCGACGGGCCGUCGCAGUCGCCACCCAUGGUCACCGGCUCACCGCCGAGAUCACGCCGCUGUGACGCCGGAGCUGGAGCGCCGCCGCCGUCGGGAAGCAGUUGGGAGAUGAAAUAG
rnacentral:lncRNA from 1 species